rnacentral:rRNA from 1 species
GAGUUUGAUCCUGGCUCAGAAUCAACGCUGGCGGCGUGCCUAACACAUGCAAGUCGAACGAGAAAGUGGAGCAAUCCAUGAGUAAAGUGGCGCACGGGUGAGUAACACGUGACUAACCUACCCUUGAGUGGGGAAUAACCUCGGGAAACCGGGGCUAAUACCGCAUAAUACCUUCGGGUCAAAGGAGCAAUUCGCUUAAGGAGGGGGUCGCGGCUGAUUAGCUAGUUGGUGGGGUAAUGGCCUACCAAGGCAAUGAUCAGUAUCCGGCCUGAGAGGGCGCACGGACACACUGGAACUGAAACACGGUCCAGACUCCUACGGGAGGCAGCAGUGGGGAAUUUUGCACAAUGGGGGAAACCCUGAUGCAGCAACGCCGCGUGGAGGAUGAAGUCCCUUGGGAUGUAAACUCCUUUCGACCGGGACGAUAAUGACGGUACCGGUGGAAGAAGCCCCGGCUAACUCUGUGCCAGCAGCCGCAGUAAC